CUUUUACAAUGAAGAGUUUGAUCCUGGCUCAGGAUGAACGCUAGCUACAGGCUUAACACAUGCAAGUCGAGGG
rnacentral:rRNA from 1 species